rnacentral:rRNA from 1 species
UGGGGAAUAUUGCACAAUGGGGGAAACCCUGAUGCAGCGACGCCGCGUGAACGAAGAAGGUAUUCGUAUCGUAAAGUUCUGUCCUAUGGGAAGAUAAUGACAGUACCAUAGAAGAAAGCUCCGGCUAAAUACGUGCCAGCAGCCGCGGUAAUACGUAUGGAGCGAGCGUUGUCCGGAUUUAUUGGGCGUAAAGGGUACGCAGGCGGUUUAAUAAGUCGAAUGUUAAAGAUCGGGGCUCAACCCCGCAAAGCAUUGGAAACUGAUAGACUUGAGUAGUGGAGAGGAAAGUGGAAUUCCUAGUGUAGUGGUGAAAUACGUAGAUAUUAGGAGGAAUACCAGUAGCGAAGGCGACUUUCUGGACACAAACUGACGCUGAGGUACGAAAGCGUGGGGAGCAAACAGG